rnacentral:lncRNA from 1 species
GGCAUGGAGUCACGGAGUCACAGGCAGAUUGCUCCUUGGGCCCUCUGGUGUUCUAUGAAAUUUCUCAGGCCCGCCUACCCCCAGGUGGAGGUCAGAAAAGCUCACAGAGGCAAGAAGGAAUCCUGGAGCCCAAAUAUAGGGGUGGCAUCUCCAGCCCCGGAGGGCGGUGUGUCUGGGGCCGGCCUCUCAGGCCCCUCCUUUCCCAGCUUCCUCGGGCCAACUCCCUGCUCACCCCGCCGGAAGGAGAGCCUGGUGGGAACACCGGGCCCACCCUUGGCGAGGACGGGGCAGUUAUGGAACCUCUAGCAGCCCCGUACCCUUCUUGGAGGAUGCCUCUGAGAAGCCAUAGCCAGGGAUGGAAGGGCAGAUGACUUCAAAAACGUGCUCAUCGCUCAGGCCAUGGUUCUUGGGGUCAGUCAGGAGUGGGAUGAUCUUAUAAAACUCGUAGAAAGAGCCGGGCCAGCCGUGCACCAUCAGCAAGGGCUUCGGGGUAUGGCCUGCGGGCAGCUGGGGGGGCUUCACGUGGAUGAAGUGGAUGUCCAGCCCUUCAAUCUUAGUCUUGAAGUGAGGGUAUCUGUUGAGAAUCUCCACCUGCUUCUUCCAGUCAAAUUCAUUCCGCCAGUAGGAGAUGACUUUCUUCAGGUAGUUGGAG